UGCGUAGGCGGGUCUUUAAGUCAGGGGUGAAAUCCUGGAGCUCAACUCCAGAACUGCCUUUGAUACUGAAGAUCUUGAGUUCGGGAGAGGUGAGUGGAACUGCGGGCGUAGAGGUGAAAUUCGUAGAUAUUCGCAAGAACACCAGUGGCGAAGGCGGCUCACUGGCCCGAUACUGACGCUGAGGCACGAAAGCGUGGGGAGCAAACA
rnacentral:rRNA from 1 species